GACGAGCGCUGGCGGCGUGCCUAAUACAUGCAAGUUGAGCGCUGAAGGUUGGUCCUUGUACCAACUGGAUGAGCAGCGAACGGGUGAGUAACGCGUGGGGAAUCUGCCUUUGAGCGGGGGACCACAUUUGGAAACGAAUGCUAAUACCGCAUAAAAACUUUAAACACAAGUUUUAAGUUUGAAAGAUGCAAUUGCAUCACUCAAAGAUGAUCCCGCGUUGUAUUAGCUAGUUGGUGAGGUAAAGGCUCACCAAGGCGAUGAUACAUAGCCGACCUGAGAGGGUGAUCGGCCACGUUGGGACUGAGACACGGCCCAAACUCCUACGGGAGGCAGCAGUAGGGAAUCUUCGGCAAUAGACGAAAGUCUGACCGAGCAACGCCGCGUGAGUGAAGAAGGUUUUCGGAUCGUAAAACUCGGUUGGUAGAGAAGAACGUUGGUGAGAGUGGAAAGCUCAUCAAGUGACGGUAACUACCCAGAAAGGGACGGCUAACUACGUG
rnacentral:rRNA from 1 species